GAUUCAGUCUCUCCACCCCCAAAGGCGCUUUGCCAGCAGAUUUUCGAGUUUUCCCCCAAAGAAAUAAGAAGGAUGAAAAGAGGGUUGUCCUGACUCUGAAUCUGAUCCUUGGCUUGGCUUGGCUUGGCUUGGGUCCCUUUUUUCGAUUUUCAUUUGUGACGCGUCAAAUACGUUGUUACAAUUUCUGGUCUGCCAAACGAAAUAAAAACCGCACACGGAGAGCCGCAGGACGACGGCUAGGCAGGGCACAACCACGCGAAGAACACGGAACAGCAGAAGGCAGAGAAAAACUUAAUAAAUGGGCUAAAAGUGUAAAACCUCAGAGUGCCGCAAUCAGUGGCGUAGUCUGGAGGGAUGGAAACCCCUCACUCUCAGAGCGACUCACAGGGAGAGAUGACUAAUGGAAUGGCUUACAGAAGUCGCUUUUUGGGACCUUGUGUGUUUACUGAUUACUCAAUUCAAUGUCAACCCUGUGUCGCCCUGGGUCCUGAUUCCGAUAACAAAUAUGUAUAAUUUGGUUGUUUAA